rnacentral:rRNA from 1 species
GACGUAGGGGGCCAGCGUUGUUCGGAAUUACUGGGUGUAAAGGGUUCGUAGGCGGUGCGGCAAGUUGGGAGUGAAAUCUCUGGGCUUAACCCAGAGGCUGCUUCCGAAACUGCUGUGCUUGAGUGUGGGAGAGGCGCGUGGAAUUGCAGGUGUAGCGGCGAAAUGCGUAGAUAUCUGCAGGAACACCCGUGGCGAAAGCGGCGCGCUGGACCACUACUGACGCUGAGGAACGAAAGCUAGGGGAGCAAACAGG